rnacentral:rRNA from 1 species
GACGAACGCUGGCGGCGCGCCUAACACAUGCAAGUCGAACGGAGAUCAUUUGGUAGAAGUUUUCGGAUGGACACCGAGUGAUCUUAGUGGCGAACGGGUGAGUAACGCGUGAGCAAUCUGCCUCAGAGUGGGGGACAACAGUUGGAAACGACUGCUAAUACCGCAUAAGCCCACAGCACCGCAUGGUGCAGGGGGAAAAGAUUUAUUGCUUUGAGAUGAGCUCGCGUCCAAUUAGCUGGUUGGUGAGGUAACGGCCCACCAAGGCGACGAUUGGUAGCCGGACUGAGAGGUUGAACGGCCACAUUGGGACUGAGAUACGGCCCAGACUCCUACGGGAGGCAGCAGUGGGGAAUAUUGCACAAUGGGGGGAACCCGUGAUGCAGCGACGCCGCGUGGAGGAAGAAGGUCUUCGGAUUGUAAACUCCUGUUGUUAGGGACGAUAAUGACGGUACCUAACAAGGAAGCACCGGCUAACUACGUGCCAGCAGCCGCGGU